rnacentral:rRNA from 1 species
CCUACGGGUGGCAGCAGUGGGGAAUAUUGCACAAUGGGGGAAACCCUGAUGCAGCGACGCCGCGUGAGUGAAGAAGUAUUUCUGUAUGUAAAGCUCUAUCAGCAGGGAAGAAAAUGACGGUACCUGUUUAAGAAGCCCCGGCUAACUACGUGCCAGCAGCCGCGGUAAUACGGAGGGGGCAAGCGUUAUCCGGAUUUACUGGGUGUAAAGGGAGCGUAGGCGGCAGCACAAGUCAGGAGUGAAAUGCCGGGGCUUAACCACGGAACUGCUGUGGAAACUGUGCAGCUAGAGUGCAGGAGAGGUAAGUGGAAUGCCUAGUGUAGCGGUGAAAUGCAUAGAUAGUAGGAGGAACACCAGUGGCGAAGGCGGCUUACUGGACUGUAACUGACGUUGAGGCUCGAAAGCGUGGGGAGCAAACAGGAUUAGAUACCCGAGUAGUC